UUUCCAGCACGUUUUCUGAAA
rnacentral:piRNA from 1 species